UUUUCCCAAACCCUCAGAAGCUACAAGGGCAUGCAAUUAGUUUCUCAAUCUCGCAUCUCCUCCGUGACUCCGUCGGUUACCACCCCAUCAUCACUCGGUGGUGAGCGAGAUCCUUGGUUCCUCACUAGGGUUUGGUCACCGCCGUGCUCGUCGGGGGUCUUUUCUAGGUUUUGUGAUGCCGAAUCUUAUCUCUGGUUUUCUCUAGGUCGCAAACCAUCUCCUGAAGCUAUGCUAGGGCACAACGGCCUCCUGCUAGUUCCUGCGAUCUCUUAUUACUGUUCAUUUUGAAGGUUGCUAGCUUAAUAAAUAAAGCUGAGUAUUUUGGAGGGAAAUUAGAAGAAAAGAGAGAAGCUGAUGAUUUGGGACGAAUGAGAAGCAAAAUGUCAUUAAUUAGGCAUGGCAUGGGGACUGGUUCUCGCAGGCAUGGAGGGUAAUUUGGGUUUUUCUCUAUUAUAUAAAGCUGAAGAGCAGCAAUGGAAGAGGAGAUCUAAACUUUCUCGCCUUCUCUUAUGAUUCUUUUCUCUCUGAAUACUUUUUUAGUUUUGUGCUAGGGUAUUGAGAAAUCUCCAGGAAAGUUGCUGAAGCUGGAGAUCGGCAUCGUCUCUUCGACCGAAGAAUUGUUGCUACUGCUGAAGAGUUCACCGAGGAGCUAUUGUUGAAGCCAUUGCCGGAUAAGAAGAUCAUAGACCAUUUCCACCUCCAGAGCACAGUGCCUCCAUCUGACUCCAUUGGCCACCACCAUCAUCUCUUCCCCAAGGCCAUCGCACAGCUGUUUUGGUGUUUCAGUUUGCAGCUAGCUUAGUGGAAGAGGGUGUCUCUCUGUAAUUUGCUGACAGAGCAGUAGUUAUAAAGUUGAUUUACAGAACUGAUACUGGGGAAAUUGUUGGAGUUCACAUAUUGGAAUUACAUGCUGCAGACCUCAUUCAUGAGGUAUCAAAUGCUAUAGCCUUGGGCACCAGCAUUCAGGACAUAAAAUUUGUUAUUCACACUCAUCCAACCUUUAUCAGAAGUCUUCAAAUAGGCCAAGGUAUUAAUUUUAAUUCAAGUUGUUAAAUUUUCCAUGGUCAUCAACGCGGAUCAUGCCAAAAUGUGAAAAAACUCUUAUUAUUUUGUUGAUGUAAUCAAUAUAUGUAGGUAAUAUGAUACUCAUAGUUAAUUCAGCUAAUACUUAUUCUGUUGUUUCUGCGGUUACAUACUGGUGCAUCUCACUCUAUCAAUGAACUAUGACAAUAUAAAUUGUGAAAAAAAACUCUUAUUAUUGUUUCUGCA